GAGGCUUUAGCUUAAUGAAAGUGUCUGAGUUGCAGUCAGGUGAUGCGCAAUAGAGGUGCGCAAGUCUUC
rnacentral:tRNA from 1 species